rnacentral:lncRNA from 1 species
CGGAGGAUAAAAUUUAAAACUGGUAACAGUGAUGAACCGGCCACUCUGGUAAACAAGAGAAAGCCGUUUUUAAAAAACACAACUUCCCUGUGGUACCACAGGAGAAAAUUUUAACAUAUGGUAUAACGUAGAAUUAUAGGGUCAUGACCCCCCUGUCAUCUUGCCAGAUCCCGCCUCUGCACUUAUACUGCGACAACUGUUUUAUUAAAGAUAAUACUACCAAACAAUGAAAAAUAUCAAAAUGCAUUAAAAAGAAGUCCUUCUUUUGAAAACGCACACACCUAUAUGUUUAUACAGUUGAAUUCUAGAAAUUAAAGUUUU